GUCUACAGCCAUGCCACCCUAAACAAGCCCGAUAUCUGAUCGCAGAAGCUAAGUAGGGUUGGACCUGGGUAGUACUUAGAUGGGAGACCACCUAGGAAGAUCAGGUGCUGUAGGCA
rnacentral:rRNA from 1 species